GACAGAGGAUGCAAGCGUUAUCCGGAAUGAUUGGGCGUAAAGCGUCUGUAGGUGGCUUUUCAAGUCCGCCGUCAAAUCCCAGGGCUCAACCCUGGACAGGCGGUGGAAACUACCAAGCUGGAGUACGGUAGGGGCAGAGGGAAUUUCCGGUGGAGCGGUGAAAUGCAUUGAGAUCGGAAAGAACACCAACGGCGAAAGCACUCGUGCUGGGCCGACACUGACACUGAGAGACGAAAGCUAGGGAGCAAAUGGAUUAGGAUAACCCUGAGUAGUCCAAGUACCAACG
rnacentral:rRNA from 1 species